rnacentral:ncRNA from 1 species
CACCUGGUUGAUCCUGCCAGUAGUCAUAUGCUUGUCUCAAAGAUUAAGCCAUGCAUGUCUAAGUAUAAGCUUUAAACGGCGAAACUGCGAAUGGCUCAUUAAAACAGUUAUAGUUUAUUUGGUGAUCGAUUACUAUUUGGAUAACCGUAGUAAUUCUAGAGCUAAUACAUGCGUCAAGGCCCGACUUCGGAAGGGCUGCGUUUAUUAGAUACAGAACCAACCUAGGCUCCGCCUAGUCCUUGUUGGUGAUUCAUAAUAACCCGGCGAAUCGCACGGCUUGUCCGGCGAUGGACCAUUCAAGUUUCUGACCUAUCAGCUAUGGACGGUAGGGUAUUGGCCUACCGUGGCGUUGACGGGUAACGGGGAAUUAGGGUUCGAUUCCGGAGAGGGAGCCUGAGAAACGGCUACCACAUCUAAGGAAGGCAGCAGGCGCGCAAAUUACCCAAUCCUGAUACAGGGAGGUAGUGACAAGAAAUAACAAUACAGGGCAAUUCUGUCUUGUAAUUGGAAUGAGUAGAUUUUAAAUCUCUUUACGAGUAUCAAUUGGAGGGCAAGUCUGGUGCCAGCAGCCGCGGUAAUUCCAGCUCCAAUAGCGUAUAUUAAAGUUGUUGCGGUUAAAAAGCUCGUAGUUGGAUUUCUGCCUUGGGCGACCGAUCCACCUUUCCUACGGGAUUGGUUGGUAUCAGGUUUGACCUUGGCUUUUUCUUGGGAUUCGUGCUCACGUACUUAACUGUGCGUUGACCGUGUUCCAAGACUUUUACUUUGAGGAAAUUAGAGUGUUUCAAGCAGGCUUAUGCCAUGAAUACAUUAGCAUGGAAUAAUAGGAUAUGACUUCGGUCAUAUUUUGUUGGUUUCUAGGACUGAAGUAAUG